UACGAAGGGGUGCAAGCGUUACUCGGAAUUACUGGGCGUAAAGCGUGCGUAGGUGGUUUGUUAAGUCUGUUGUGAAAGCCCCGGGCUCAACCUGGGAAUGGCAAUGGAUACUGGCAAGCUAGAGUGCGGUAGAGGGUAGUGGAAUUCCCGGUGUAGCGGUGAAAUGCGUAGAGAUCGGGAGGAACACCAGUGGCGAAGGCGGCUACCUGGACCAGCACUGACACUGAGGCACGAAAGCGUGGGGGAGCAAACAGG
rnacentral:rRNA from 1 species